CAAUAGCGUAUAUUAAAGUUGUUGCGGUUAAAAAGCUCGUAGUUGGACUUCUGCCGAGGACGACCGGUCCGCCCUCUGGGUGAGCAUCUGGAUCGGCCUGGGCAUCUUCUUGGGGAACGUAGCUGCCCUUGACUGAGUGGUGCGGUAUCCAGGACUUUUACUUUGAGGAAAUUAGAGUGUUUCACGCAGGCGCACGCCUUGGAUAUAUUAGCAUGGAAUAAUAAGAUAAGACUUGGGUCAUUAUUUUGUUGGUUUGCGGAUCGAGGUAAUGAUUAAUAGGGAUAGUUGGGGGUAUUCAUAUUUAAUUGUCAGAGGUGAAAUUCUUGGAUUUAUGAAAGAUGAACUUAGGCGAAAGCAUUUACCAAGGAUGUUUUCAUUAAUCAAGAACGAAAGUUAGGGGAUCGAAGACGAUCAGAUACCAU
rnacentral:rRNA from 1 species